rnacentral:tRNA from 1 species
GGAAGAGUGGCAGAGCGGCUGAAUGCGUCUGUCUCGAAAACAGAUUCACAAGCAAUUGUGACGUGAGUUCGAAUCUCACCUCUUCCA